UUUUGCCCCUUCCCCUUCGUUGAGAGGGUUUCGUCCGCUCAGAGAAGUCCCCAUUUUUAGUCCGUUUCGAACCAGCUGGUUGGGGGGCAGCCAUGGAAGAUCUGCAUUCAUUGUUAGACAUGCGUGGGGGGCCGUCGAUUUUUGUUUGGGAGGUGCGCUGCAAAUCCAGCCGCACUUUUAGACUUCGUCUCACAGAUUUGUGGUCGGGAGAUUUCUCAUCCUUUCUACAGCCUUCGACUCAGACUUCCAUCUUUCUUGCUUGCGAAUUUUUGCAUCCUUUGUCUUCAGGGUUUGAGCAUGAGGAAAAAGGUGAUUUUGCAACCUCACCAAAGCAUUUCAGAGUUGCUUGGGUGAAGCUGAUGACUGUGUGCGUGCAGGACUAUAACAAAAUGGUGCAACUACAUCUAUUCGUGGACUUUGAAAUAGAAACAAGGGGACUGUUCGUGCGUGAAUAAAGGCUUGCCAUUGCCCUUGCGGAUGUUGUGGGACAGAGCCAGUGUAUGUGUACAGAAGUUACGAACAACACAGAAUGUUGACUGACUUUGAAGGUGCUACAAGAAAAAAUGAAGUAGGGUUCUGCAUUUGGACUAGCAAAGAGUUCCACCAGUACCAGGUUGUUGGGAGUAAGCUCCCUACAGCAUCUGAUGAGCACCCCGAAAUUUUCUGAAUGAAGCUCUGGGCCACCAAUGAGGUUUGCGCCAAGUCCAAGUUCUGGUAUUUCCUGAGGAGGCUGAAGAAGGUCAAGAAGAGCAAUGGCCAAGUGCUUGCCAUUAAUGAGUGGUUCCUCCUCAACUCUCCUCCUGGCUUAAUCCAAUUUGUUGCCAAAGGAGGCUGCGCCAGAGGCAUCCCCUCCAAAUGACCGGCUGAUUUGGAGACGUGACAUGAAGCAGAAACAGUUAAGGAAAUCUCAUAUGAAAUAGGUAUUUUAUGUUGGAGGUUAGGUUUAUUUUAUGAUUUUUUAUGUUAGAUUUCAUAUUGAAUCAAUUUGAAAGGUUCCCCCUGAAGACUCUGAAUAUCUUUUAAGUUUUUUAUGGUUAUAACACAUCAAAAUUUAUUUUUUCUUAUCAGUUCUUUCAACUUUAUUUUGCUAAUUCAGUGAGAGUAGUUGUCAAAGAUGGCAUCAAAGCUUAGCAAAUCUAUGCUUGAUGGGGUUGAAAUUACGAUUUAAUCAGUGAUAGGACUUUUGGUUGAAUCCCAAGCAGGGAAUGCAUUCUUUGCCAUGGUUCCCGGACAGGUCCUCUUGGCUUCCCUUGAUGCUAUCAAUUUGUACCAACAUAGUUAAAACCCUGCGAAGGACAAGAAAGAACAGAAGCCACCUCUAUAGGAAAGGCAUCAAGAGAAAGAUCCCAUUCCAACAGACAUCAAGGCAGAAAAUCCCCUUCCACCACCCAAUAGCAUAUAUAUAUAAAGACCGGUCCAAAUUCUUUUAAACAAUGAACAUUCUAAAACUGCUAAUAUUUUGAUGCUAUUUUGAUGUUUUGAUUGCUGCUUAGUUUAUUAAAAUAUGGUCAAUAUUUUUACAUGACAAGUAGCAUAUAAAACAUGUUAUUAGUCUAUUUUUAGUAAUAUAAACUUGCCAAAUAAAGCAUGAUGCCACUAUUAAGAUCUCCAUGUCUAUAUAAAUGGUACCAUCUUUCAUAUAUUUUUUCACGAUUUUGUAUACGAUUCAUAUGGUUUUAAAACCCGCAGCAUCGCGCGGGCACCUUUGCUAGUUCUAUAUAUACUAAAACCCAAUGCAACUAAACACUGUAGCUAAGCACAGUAUAAUGACGGAAAUGCCCCUCAUUUUAUUGUUGUUUUCGUUUUGUUUUUUCUUCAUAACAGUAAAUUGACGAAACUGCCCUCAACUAAACAGCUUCUUCUGUUCCCGUUUUUGCCCCUUCUCCUUCGUUGAGAAGGUUUCGUCCGCUCACAAAAGCCCCCAUUUCCAGUUCGUUUCGAACCAGCUGGUUGGGGGGCAGCAAUGGAAGAUCUGCAUUCAUUGUUAGACAUGCGUGGGGAGCUGUCGAUUUUUGUUUGGGAGGUGCGCUGCAAAUCCAGCCGCACUUUUACUCUUCGUCUCACAGAUUUGUGGUCGGGAAAUUUCUCAUCCUUUCUACAGCCUUCCACUCAGACUUCCAUCUUUCUUGCUUUCGAAUUUUUGCAUCCUUUGUCUUCAGGUUCUUGAGUAAUCCCUAAUGCUAUAUAAGAGGAGCUGAGGUUCUUGGGUAAUCCCUAAUGCUAUAUAAGAGGAGCUGAGGUAUUUAUAUUUCACAACAUAUUGGGUUCUAUCAGGAAGGGAAUUGAAUCUCACAAAUUAGCUCAGAAGGUUUGUUCUAGAAAAUACAAAAUCCAAAUAUUAUGAAGUGUGCACCGGAGAAGAUCCUCUUUUUCCUUGGGAUGUAACUAACUGUUGUUUAUGGCUGAGAGGUGUCUGGUUGGAUUUCAACUAGCUGGUUGGAGAACUACAGAAAUAAAAUGGGAGAGCUGUUGGUUCUUCACCGUAUGCUCUGAGACAUAGCUAUGUGGCUUAAACUUUGGUUUCUGUAUAUGAAAAAUAUAGUUUUUGACUGUGAAGCUUUUCUGUAUAUGUCACAGGUUCUUAAAUUCUAUCCUAAAUUACCUAUGUUCAACUAGAAAAAAAGGUUUCCUUUUAUCUUCUUGAAAUAAUUCAUGUUUUAAAACCCAUUUAUCUAAAUUGACUCUCCAGCACAUGGUGUCUGGGGAAACAUAUGAUCUACUUUCUCAGUUCAAUA